rnacentral:rRNA from 1 species
UACGAAGGGUGCAAACGUUGCUCGGAAUUAUUGGGCGUAAAGCGCACGUAGGCGGCUUCUUAAGUCAGGGGUGAAAUCCUGGAGCUCAACUCCAGAACUGCCUUUGAUACUGGGAGGCUCGAGUCCGGGAGAGGUGAGUGGAACUGCGAGUGUAGAGGUGAAAUUCGUAGAUAUUCGCAAGAACACCAGUGGCGAAGGCGGCUCACUGGCCCGGUACUGACGCUGAGGUGCGAAAGCGUGGGGAGCAAACAGG